rnacentral:tRNA from 1 species
GCGAAAGUGGCGGAAUUGGCAGACGCGCCGGCCUUAGGAGCCGGUGGCCGAAAGGCUGUAAGGGUUCGAGUCCCUUCUUUCGCA